rnacentral:SRP_RNA from 1 species
CCGCACUAGUCGGGGAGAUAGCGGUGCCCUGUUACCUGCAAUCCGCUACAGCAGGGAUGAAGCCCGGCCCCCGGAUUUUCGCUGUGUCGUCUGACCCAGGCAAGCGGUGAUGAUGGAUCGGUCCCGCGCAACGGGACCCCGUGAACCGUGUCAGGUGGGGAACCAAGCAGCACUAAGCGGACUGUCCCGUGUGCCGCGGGAGGCCCGCUCCUGAGCUGGCUGCCUGGGUAACGGACAGGGCGGAAACUUCAAAGGCCGGUGUGCGG